GUGUGGCAUCUGCGCCGAGCUGAGCCAGAACUUGACUCCUUUUUCCUUCCUUCCUUUCUUUCUUCCCCCAAGGCAUACAAGACUCACGCUGAACUGUCAGGUGGUUAAAUGAGGAGGAAGAUGAAGACCGCUCUGGAUAUGCAGCGUUAAAACAGUCUAAAUUAAGCAAGUUGUUUUGCAGGAAAAACCAGAAGUGACUUGGGAGAAAAAAAAAAUCAGAAUAAGCAAGUACUUCCGCUUAAUCAGUAUCCCAACAGCUUUGAAGCAUAGAGAACCAGCUGUAAUUGUCAGUGAAAACCUCAUGUUCUUCCAGCAGUUGGCAACAUCUUUUGCUUAAUUCCUGCACUGUCAACUCAGAUUGAUUUCCUUUUAAAUUAUAGCAUUUUGCCCCAUUUAUUUCUUUGGCAGACAAAGCCUAUUUGUUUGCUUUCUUUUUUAAGACAGUCUUUUUCAUUUAGGAAUGGAAAUAGGGCAAUGUAUUUACAUUGUUAAGCAAAAAACUGAGGUGUUAUUACAGAAGAUACAGAGCUGUGUGCCGAGGCUUUUUACAAGAGAUGAAACAUCUACAUUACCAAAGACUUGUCCUAGGAACUGUGCUAAGAGCUGACUCACCAACAGAAUUAAGCUUCUCAUAGACAAUGAAGGAAUCUUCUUUUGUUCUCCUGAAGCACAUAUUACAGAAACGAACAAAAGUGGUGGUAAAAAAUACCAGCUGAAUGAAUGCAAGCCUCGUAUAUGCUUUUCCCCAUAAACAGGUCUGAGAUACACUCUUCUACUGGUAUUGGUGUAGCAUCCUUUCUUUCACCAGAAAUUUACCUAGAUGCAGAAACAAACCGCUAAAACAAGGAGCUAGCUGAGCUGGAGGUAGGGGGUGAUACGGAGAGGCAUCUCCACCCAUCCUGCUCCAUCGUCCACUGGGGCUGUGUGGGGGCACCAGAGGAUUCUCAGGUCUACAGAGCACAAUUUGGAACCUGCCGAUUAAAUAGCCUCCGAAGUCAGUUACAGCUCCAAAAUUACUCUGCCAUAACUAUCUUGAUAUUGCAAAGACUGGUAAGGCAUUCAGUAGGAUCCAAAACUUCAUAGGAUCACAAGCCAUAAAACUAAACCAUGAGCUGGCUUUAUUUAAUCUUUAUUAUCAGUGACCUACUUAAAAAAAAAAAAAAAGGCCUCACCCUCAAAUAAAUCAUA